rnacentral:rRNA from 1 species
GAUGAACGCUAGCGACAGGCUUAACACAUGCAAGUCGAGGGGCAGCAUGAUUUGUAGCAAUACAGAUUGAUGGCGACCGGCGCACGGGUGAGUAACGCGUAUGCAACUUACCUAUCAGAGGGGGAUAGCCCGGCGAAAGUCGGAUUAAUACCCCAUAAAACAGGGGUCCCGCAUGGGAAUAUUUGUUAAAGAUUCAUCGCUGAUAGAUAGGCAUGCGUUCCAUUAGGCAGUUGGCGGGGUAACGGCCCACCAAACCGACGAUGGAUAGGGGUUCUGAGAGGAAGGUCCCCACAUUGGUACUGAGACACGGACCAAACUCCUACGGGAGGCAGCAGUGAGGAAUAUUGGUCAAUGGCCGAGAGGCUGAACCAGCCAAGUCGCGUGAAGGAAGAAGGAUCUAUGGUUUGUAAACUUCUUUAUAGGGGAAGUAAAGUGGAGGACGUGUCCUUUUUGUUAUGUACCCUAUGAAUAAGC